UACGUAGGUGGCAAGCGUUGUCCGGAUUUACUGGGCGUAAAGAGCGCGCAGGCGGUCAGAUAAGUCGAAUGUGAAAGCCCCCGGCUCAACUGGGGAGGGUCAUUCGAUACUGUUCGACUCGAAGGCAGGAGAGGGAAGCGGAAUUCCCGGUGUAGUGGUGAAGUGCGUAGAUAUUGGGAAGAACACCGGUGGCGAAGGCGGCCAUCUGGACCGGAACUGACGCUGAGGAGCGAAAGUGUGGGGAGCGAACAGG
rnacentral:rRNA from 1 species